AGAUCAAGCUACAAAGGGCGCACGGUGAAUGCCCUGGCACUAGGAGCCGAUGAAGGACGUGAUAAGCUGCGAUAAGCUACAU
rnacentral:rRNA from 1 species